rnacentral:rRNA from 1 species
UAAGACUCUCGGCAACGGAUAUCUUGGCUCUUGCAUCGAUGAAGAACGUAGCAAAAUGCGAUACCUGGUGUGAAUUGCAGAAUCCCGUGAACCAUCGAGUUUUUGAACGCAAGUUGCGCCCGAGGCCUCUCGGUUGAGGGCACGUCUGCCUGGGUGUCACGCC